rnacentral:tRNA from 1 species
GGGAAGCGCUGCGUAUCGCUGCGGACGUUUGCGCGGUCCGCCACGUUUACACCGUGGAUGUCGUCGGUUCGAUCCCGGCAGGGCCCA